rnacentral:lncRNA from 1 species
GGCGAUGUGUGCGAAAAAUUAAGGAUGCGUCGGGUGGAAGGAGACGAGCACCAGUAGAGAACUGGCCCUUAGGGCCUGUUUGGUAGAGCUCCACACAGCUCCAGAUCCUCAAAAACAGCUCUGCUCUAUAUUUUUUCAGCCAAACGAUUUUAAAUCCAGCAACUCCACCACGGAUCUGCUCCACGAAAACGGUGGAUCUACCCCCAGAUCCAUGGAUUUGGUGGAGCACCUCAGGGGGUGCUCCACGAAAUCAAAUUUGGUGGAGUUGGAG